GUGCUCACUUCUGCAGCACAUAUACUAAAAUUGGAAGAAUACAGAGAAGAUUAGCAUGGCUCCUGUGCAAGGAUGACAUGCAAAUUCAUGAAGUAUUCCACAUUUUU
rnacentral:snRNA from 1 species